rnacentral:rRNA from 1 species
UACGUAGGGCGCAAGCGUUGUCCGGAAUUAUUGGGCGUAAAGAGCUCGUAGGCGGUUUGUCGCGUCUGCUGUGAAAACUCGAGGCUCAACCUCGGGCUUGCAGUGGGUACGGGCAGACUAGAGUCAGGUAGGGGAGAACGGAAUUCCUGGUGUAGCGGUGAAAUGCGCAGAUAUCAGGAGGAACACCGGUGGUGAAGGCGGUUCUCUGGGCCUGUACUGACGCUGAGGAACGAAAGCGUGGGGAGCGAACAGG